GGCCCGUUGGUCAAGCGGUUAAGACACCGCCCUUUCAAGGCGGUAACACGGGUUCGAAUCCCGUACGGGUCA
rnacentral:tRNA from 1 species